UCCGUAGGGUGCAAGCGUUAUCCGGAAUUAUUGGGCGUAAAGAGCUCGUAGGCGGUUUGUCGCGUCUGCUGUGAAAACUGGGGGCUCAACCCCCAGCCUGCAGUGGGUACGGGCAGACUAGAGUGCGGUAGGGGAGAUUGGAAUUCCUGGUGUAGCGGUGGAAUGCGCAGAUAUCAGGAGGAACACCGAUGGCGAAGGCAGAUCUCUGGGCCGUAACUGACGCUGAGGAGCGAAAGCAUGGGGAGCGAACAGG
rnacentral:rRNA from 1 species